AUUGAACGCUGGCGGCAUGCUUUACACAUGCAAGUCGAACGGUAAAAGGCCUUCGGGUGCUGACGAGUGGCGCACGGGUGAGUAAUGCAUCGGAACGUGCCCAGAGGUGGGGGAUAACGCAGCGAAAGCUGUGCUAAUACCGCAUGUGAUCUGAGGAUGAAAGAGGGGGACCAAGCAGCAAUGUUUGGCCUCGCGCCUCUGGAGCGGCCGAUGUCAGAUUAGGUAGUUGGUGGGGUAAAGGCCUACCAAGCCGACGAUCUGUAGCUGGUCUGAGAGGACGACCAGCCACACUGGGACUGAGACACGGCCCAGACUCCUACGGGAGGCAGCAGUGGGGAAUUUUGGACAAUGGGCGCAAGCCUGAUCCAGCAAUGCCGCGUGCGGGAAGAAGGCCUUCGGGUUGUAAACCGCUUUUGUACGGAACGAAAAGGCUCUGGCUAAUACCUGGGGCUGAUGACGGUACCGUAAGAAUAAGCACCGGCUAACUACGUG
rnacentral:rRNA from 1 species